UACAGAGGUCUCGAGCGUUGUUCGGAUUCAUUGGGCGUAAAGGGUUCGUAGGUGGCGCUGUAAGUCGGGUGUGAAAUCCUGAGGCUUAACCUCGGAACUGCAUUCGAUACUGCGGCGCUUGAGGACUGGAGAGGAGACUGGAAUUCAUGGUGUAGCAGUGAAAUGCGUAGAGAUCGGGAAGAACAUCGGUGGCGAAAGCGCUCUGCUGGACUGCAACUGACACUCAGGGACGAAAGCUAGGGGAGCGAAUGGG
rnacentral:rRNA from 1 species